rnacentral:rRNA from 1 species
UACGGACUGUGCAAACGUUAUUCGGAAUCACUGGGCUUAAAGAGUCCGUAGGCGGCAUGUUAGGUGAGGUGUGAAAUCCCCCGGCUCAACCGAGGAAUUGCGCUUCAAACCGGCGUGCUUGAGGAAGAUAGAGGUGGGCGGAACUGAUGGUGGAGCGGUGAAAUGCGUUGAUAUCAUCAGGAACACCGGAGGCGAAGGCGGCAUCCUGGACCAUUACUGACGCUGAGGCGCGAAAGCUAGGGGAGCAAACGGG